ensembl:lncRNA
CAACAUAAAGAUUUAAUUUAAUCUAGUGUUAUAGAUGAAAAUUUAAAUAUGCCAGACUCAGGAAAUAUAAAAUUGAGGUGUUCACAGCCACUGGCAUUUAGCCCCUUUGCAGAGGCAUUGAAUUUUAUUAGAUCAAUGCUAUAAGGAUAUGCUGCUGGCAACAAUGCAGUUGACAGGUGCUGUGAAAAGCAUAACAUUCAACUUCCCAGCUUCCCCACACUUUCCAUAUCCUCUUGAAUUAACAUAAAUAUUUGUAAUGAAUAUAAUAUAUGGCAUUCCACAUAGAAUUAUUUUGGCUUUUGGAAAAAAAAGAUAAUUUUUCAUUGGAAAGUACCUCUGUGAUCUACCAACUACUGACUAAAUUUAACGAGGUGCUAUAUACUAAAUGUACUUCAAAUCUUUAUAUUAAUAGCUGAUAUUUUCAGUUCCUGGUUUGUAUGGAUUGUCUAUUGCAGAAUGCCUAAAAAGGUAAUGUAUUCUAAACUUUAAUUGAAACCCGUGAGGUAAGGGGAUUUGGGUUGAUCAAAAUGAGAAAAAAAAUGUUUUCUGAUAAUUUGCUUCCCUCUUUUUCUUUCAAGGUCCCUAGAGUUUCCAGAAGAGCUUUGUACCUGUAUGCUUCAUAUUUGCUUACUUUGAGAUACGAUGUCGCUGGUAGAGGAUUCACAUAAUUUAUGAAAUGUAACUGAAUGUAUUUAAGUGUUGUGGUGAAUACAGAGAAGAACCUUAUGAUGGCAAACAGCUGCAAGGGUCUACAGUGCACAAAGAUCAACCACCCUAAUACUAAAGAUGUGAGUCACUGAAAAAAAUCAUUAACUAUUUCCUACACCACAUCACCUGAUAUUAGGUCAAAGUAAUACAGACCAGCUGUUUCAUGAUCCCCUGACCCCAAAUAUCACUGCUGCAAUUAAUAUGGACCAGCCGGACAGGACCACCUAGAAUCCUAACGAACCAAGCCUUAGACAAAUGCCUGUUCUUUGCUAUGUCUGUGAGGACUUUCAAAUCUCAGUGUCUUAAAGAAGGAAGAUAAAAAUUAUCAAAACUAUUAUUUCAUCAGAUUUCUUUAAUCAGGUUUAUUAUAAAAUACUGACUUAUAACACAUGCAUUCAGAGCUCUCUGCAAUGCUGUGUGCUCAAGCCUGAAUAGAAAGCAGCAGCUAAAGUUUUGCCCCAACACAAUCACAUUCACAGUCUCCUCCUCAGAGGAGAACAUUUUCUUUCUUUCUAGAUUGGAGGCAGGUGGGGGACAAGUGGUUAUUGAGUUAAUUUGAUACUGGUCAUACCUAAAUUCAAUUCCCUGCUCUAUUACAGAACAAUGGCGUCCAUAAUUUAUGAUAAAUUUUCACAGCUGUAAAGCACAGACCACUGGUAUGAGAUUCAGCUUUAAAUAAAAUUAAUUUGUAUCUCUGUAGCUGGCAAACUGCAAAAGUAUAACUCUUACAUGUAUACUAUAUUUUAAUCAAGACUGCAUACCUUUGUUUUCACAAAGUAUUGUGAAUUAAAAAUAAGCUUCAUUCCAUGGCACUCAAUACAGAAAUGAUAGUCUCUCUCUGCUUUGCAAAGCUGCUAUAAAAAUAUACUUCAAAAACCAUGCUGCAUUCACACGGCAUAGGAUGAACAUACAGAAUGCAUGUUUGGAAGACACUGACAUACAAAUUUGUCUACUUUCUUUAUGAAAUUCAAAGGGGAAAAACAAAAGAAAAUGUGACUUAUUUUAUUUAAUGUUUGAUUUCCAUGUGCAGUUUUAAAUUUUUUUUCCCUAAAAAAAUCCUUUAUUAUGGAUAAUAUAAACCAUGAUCAA